rnacentral:rRNA from 1 species
GACGAACGCUGGCGGCGUGCCUAAUACAUGCAAGUUGAGCGCUGAAGGUUGGUACUUGUACCAACUGGAUGAGCAGCGAACGGGUGAGUAACGCGUGGGGAAUCUACCUUUGAGCGGGGGACAACAUUUGGAAACGAAUGCUAAUACCGCAUAAAAACUUUAAACACAAGUUUUAAGUUUGAAAGAUGCAAUUGCAUCACUCAAAGAUGAUCCCGCGUUGUAUUAGCUAGUUGGUGAGGUAAAGGCUCACCAAGGCGAUGAUACAUAGCCGAUCUGAGAGGGUGAGCGGCCACAUUGGGACUGAGACACGGCCCAAACUCCUACGGGAGGCAGCAGUAGGGAAUCUUCGGCAAUGGACGAAAGUCUGACCGAGCAACGCCGCGUGAGUGAAGAAGGUUUUCGGAUCGUAAAACUCUGUUGGUAGAGAAGAACGUUGGUGAGAGUGGAAAGCUCAUCAAGUGACGGUAACUACCCAGAAAGGGACGGCUAACUACGUG